rnacentral:rRNA from 1 species
CCCUUAGAUGUUCUGGGCUGCACGCGCGCUACACUGAUGCACUCAACGAGUUUACGACCUUGCCCGAUAGGGUUGGGUAAUCUUUUUAAAAUGCAUCGUGAUGGGGAUAGAUUAUUGCAAUUAUUAAUCUUCAACGAGGAAUUCCUAGCAAGCGCGAGUCAUCAGCUCGUGCUGAUUACGUCCCUGCCCUUUGUACACACCGCCCGUCGCUCCUACCGAUUGAGUGCUCAGGUGAAUAAUUCGGACUGCAGCAAUGUUUGGAUCCCGAACGUUGCAGCGGAAAGUUUAGUGAACCUUAUCACUUAGAGGAAGGAGAAGUCGUAACA